rnacentral:rRNA from 1 species
AGCAACGCGUGAGGAACCUGCCUCAAAGAGGGGGACAACAGUUGGAAACGACUGCUAAUACCGCAUAAGCCCACAGCUCGGCAUCGAGCAGAGGGAAAAGGAGCAAUCCGCUUUGAGAUGGCCUCGCGUCCGAUUAGCUAGUUGGUGAGGUAACGGCCCACCAAGGCGACGAUCGGUAGCCGGACUGAGAGGUUGAACGGCCACAUUGGGACUGAGACACGGCCCAG